rnacentral:rRNA from 1 species
UCCGUAGGUGAACCUGCGGAAGGAUCAUUAACACUAAUCCAAUUAACUCAACCUAGCCUUCAGUUGCAGCCGCAGUAUUUGCUAGCGUAAGCAGGCAGUGCCGCAGCUGCAGCAACUAACAAACUUAUCAUACAAAGGAGCCUAACUAAGCUCAACAAUUAAAACCAAAUUCUCAACGAUGGAUAUCUUGGUUCCCAUAACGAUGAAGAACGCAGCGAAGUGCGAUAAGCAAUGCGAAUUGCAGAACCGUGAGUCAUCAGAUUUUUGAACGCAACUGGCGCUGGCUGGGUCUCCAGCCAGCAUGCUUGUUUCAGUGUCUUGUUUUCUCCUCACCCAAAACUUAAUGCGAGAGAUACCCUUCUCUUGUCAAGCAUGAAAGCACUCUGUUUCUGCCAGCGAUUCUUGACUUGUUCAGGAGUCGCACUCAAUGCAGACGUCACAUUUCUUUUAAUGUGAACUCAUUGGGAGUAGGAAUUGUCAGCUAACGCUGUCAGUGCUUAGUCACUUAAACUUUCUUUGGCAUCUGGAAAUCAAGGCAGGGGGAUCACCCGGCUGGAACUUAAGGCAUAUCAAUAAGGCGGGGAGGGGAA